rnacentral:rRNA from 1 species
AUUCCAGCUCCAAUAGCGUAUAUUAAAGUUGUUGCAGUUAAAAAGCUCGUAGUUGAACUUUGGGCCUGGCAGGCCGGUCCGCUUUUUGGCGAGUACUGACCCUGCCGGGCCUUUCCUUCUGGCUAACCUCCCCUCUGGAGAGGCGAACCAGGACUUUUACUUUGAAAAAAUUAGAGUGUUCAAAGCAGGCCUUUGCUCGAAUAUAUUAGCAUGGAAUAAUAGAAUAGGACGUUUGGUUCUAUUUUGUAGGUUUCUAGGACCAUCGUAAUGAUUAAUAGGGACGGUCGGGGGCAUCAGUAUUCAGUUGUCAGAGGUGAAAUUCUUGGAUUUACUGAAGACUAACUACUGCGAAAGCAUUUGCCAAGGACGUUUUCAUUA